AUUGAACGCUGGCGGCAUGCUUUACACAUGCAAGUCGAACGGUAACAGGGGAGCUUGCUCCCGCUGACGAGUGGCGAACGGGUGAGUAAUGCAUCGGAACGUGCCGAAUAGUGGGGGAUAACGCACCGAAAGGUGUGCUAAUACCGCAUACGCCCUGAGGGGGAACGUGGGGGACCGCAAGGCCUCACGCUACUCGAACGGCCGAUGGCGGAUUAGCUAGUUGGUGGGGUAAAGGAUCACCAAGGCGACGAUCCGUAGCGGGUUUGAGAGGAUGAUCCGCCACACUGGGACUGAGACACGGCCCAGACUCCUACGGGAGGCAGCAGUGGGGAAUUUUGGACAAUGGGGGAAACCCUGAUCCAGCCAUGCCGCGUGUCUGAAGAAGGCCUUCGGGUUGUAAAGGACUUUUGUCCGGGAGGAAACCCUGAUCGUUAAUAGCGGUCGGGACUGACAGUACCGGAAGAAUAAGCACCGGCUAACUACGUGCCAGCAGCCGCGGUAACAC
rnacentral:rRNA from 1 species